rnacentral:rRNA from 1 species
UACGGGGGGAGCAAGCGUUGUUCGGAUUUACUGGGCGUAAAGGGCGCGUAGGCGGCCCGUCAAGUCCCGUGUGAAAGCCCCCGGCUCAACCGGGGAACGGCGCGGGAAACUAGCAGGCUUGAGUUCGGGAGAGGGAAGCGGAAUUCCGGGUGUAGCGGUGAAAUGCGCAGAUAUCCGGAGGAACACCGGUGGCGAAGGCGGCUUCCUGGACCGACACUGACGCUGAGGCGCGAAAGCUAGGGGAGCAAACGGG